GUAAUCAUUCAUUCCGACUCGUUCGUUCGAGCUCUCUCGCUGCCGCCACUCAGCACGUAUAACAUGUCGUCUCUUUAUAUAUAGUUUAAAAUAAUAAAUAUUCAAUAAUACCAAGUGCCUUUGGACUUUACAUCCACUACAACCUGCAUACCAUAGUAAGCCUACCCUAAUGGGAGAUAGGCGUGACAGAUAUGUAUGUAUGUAUAUUUGGCAAUAUAAUUCAAAAUUAUUAAUUAAAAACUGCGAUACGAUGCAAAUCACAAUGAUUAAUAUCAACAAUUCAUCGUGUACUUAAAGAUUUACUCUUAUAAAAGGAAUUGUUACUAACUUGGACUAGUGAUUUCAUUGCUAGUAAACUUGCAUGUAUAAAAUUUAUUUAAAUGGGAAAUCUGCUUAUAUUUAUGGUAACCUGUUUUAGUCCUUUAUUUCAACUUAGUAAAGAUUUAUACAUUACGUACGUAUCUAUUUAGACAGUUGUCACUUACUCUCCACAUGAUAGAUAUGACUGAUAAAAAGAAAUUUAAUGUAAAAUAUACGUAAAUUUCUCAUAGUGUUAAUAAUUUGCAUGCCGACAUAGAAGCAGAAUGUAUAUGGGAAAUGUAAAUGUAAAACUACCUUCAUUAAAGCAAAAUAAAUUAAUUUUAUUUCGCAAUCUUAUAUUAAUCUUUGAGUAUAAAUAAAAACAGUUUUUGUAUCUUUUAUCAAAUUUACAUCUGAAUUCAGUUACUACUUAUUAUUAAUAUUACAGUCAAUAUGAUGAUGAUUUUAAAGAGUUAUUUUACAAUAAAUGUAGAUUAGGGCUAUUCCUAUUCUCCACUAGAUGUAGUGACGACCUUAAAUGCAUUGCAGGGAGUCAAUGGAUGCAGGUGGCUCAGGAGCUUUCUUUAUGGCAGUCUAUGGGAGGCUUAUGUCCUGCAGUAGACGAAUAAUGGCUGAAAUGAUGAUGAUGAUGAUCAGGGCUAUUCCUAAUAAAUACCUACCUGGAAUUCUUUUUCUGCGCUUAAUAUGCUAUGAAUAUAUAAAAAUACAUUGUCUUAUGUAAACUGUAAUAAUAUGUAAUAUGUUUGUGAAUAUAAAACUUAGUUCUUAGUGUAAAACGUUUUAAAAAAUAAAAAAAUGUUUAUUACAAAAAAGAUUGUAUAAUACACUAAAUACUUUUUAACUUUUAAGAAAAUCAUUGAUUGAUUGAUACAUAAAGUGUAAAUUUUGACGUUAUAAAAAAUACCUACAAAAUUUCUAGUAUUGAUUAUAAAAAAAAUAUUAGUAUUAAGAGAAUUAUGGGAAAUCAGCAUACAAGAGGCUAUUUACCGGAUUUUACAGGAUAUAACUAUGCCGGUGAUAGAAAAACCAAGAGUAGAAGUAAAUCAAUUAUCUACACUGAACCACAUAAUAAAAAACUAAGAAAAAUAGGCAAGUCAAAACCUGCCAAAGUAACUAGAAACAGUGAAAAUAAAAAAAAUAGAUUGCUAUUGAAAGGAGAUAUUCCAAUUAUAUUGGGUAUUUUAAAUUUAGAAUAUAACUACCCGUUGCAAAUACGUAGAAAACAUAGCCACAUACAACAUUGUUAUUCGGAACACAAACUAAGAAGACCAUGCCAUCGAUUUUGUCAAAGAAUUCAAUCGUAUCCUUGUGCGUCGUAUUGUUUUGAAUGUAACAAAAAAUCUGUAAAAUAACAGAGUAAAUAUUUUAAUGAACUAUACUUUUAAUGAUGUACUUAUUUUGUUUUUGAUACUCUUGUAAUUCGUCAAUUAUUAACAAUAAAAUGUGGGAAUUUAAUUUACACUGACAUUUAUUAUUGGUAAAAUGUAAUGUUGUUGCGGCAACACCGCACAGUGGCGCGCCUUCGUACGAGGUGAACGUGUUUCGCUCGUCGUGUAUCAUUGGAAAUCAAAGUAUUCAUGUUUCUUUUGUAAUUAUUGCAUUAAACCAUUAUUAAUCCUAUUUGUGACGUUUUAGUGAUUAUGUGUUCUUAUCUUAUGAGUGGUCGGAGUAUAUGAUAAGGGUGUUGUUGCAUGGUGGGGGUAAGGAAACGGUGUCAACAUGGGAGACAGCUUCCUUCAUCUGGGGGACAUUGUCUCCCUGUAUGCAGAGGGCACUGUAUCAGGAUUCCUCAGUACUUUGGGGCUGGUAGAUGACAGGUGCGUAGUCUGCCCGGAGGCAGGCGACUUGACUGAUCCACCCAAAAAGUUCCGAGAUUGCCUUUUCAAGAUAUGCCCUAUGAACCGAUACUCCGCUCAAAAGCAGUUCUGGAAUACUGCGAAGCAAUCGGCUAACUCUAACACCGACACCGGUCUGCUGAAGAGGUUACACGUAAGUACUCGUAUACCAUAAGGAAGACUUAUACCAGACAGAGAGAGAGUCGUUUGCUUGGGUACCUAUGUCUCAUUCGUGUUUCUACCGUGAAGCAGUUGUGUUUGCAUGGCUGUGUUUCGGUUUGAAGGGUGGAAUAUGGCAGUGAAUUUACGGGGUACAGAGGAAUAAUACCUGAGUCCUCAGGAAUGGCAACGCAUGGGGGGUAUC